GUGAAUAUUAGGGUGCUCUGUGGCUUUAACACGCUCAGAGGCCUGACCUCCACUUUCCACACUGUGCACCUUUCGGCGAAAUGGAAUCUUGAGCUUUGCUCUCGAGGAAGUUUUGCGGCUUCAUUAUAAAACACUAGUUUAAGAAUGUAAAAAACCAUAACAAAAA
rnacentral:misc_RNA from 1 species